UGCAGUCGAACGGCAGCACGGGAGCUUGCUCCUGGUGGCGAGUGGCGAACGGUUUAGUAAUAUAUCGGAACGUAUCCAAUAAUGGGGGAUAACUAUUUCGAAAGCUUGGCUAAUACCGCAUACGCCCUGAGGGGGAAAGCUAGGGAUCUUCGGACCUGGCGUUGAUGGAGCGGCCGAUAUCUGAUUAGCUAGUUGGUGGGGUAAAGGCCCACCAAGGCGACGAUCAGUAGCUGGUCUGAGAGGACGACCAGCCACACUGGAACUGAGACACGGUCCAGACUCCUACGGGAGGCAGCAGUGGGGAAUUUUGGACAAUGGGCGCAAGCCUGAUCCAGCCAUUCCGCGUGAGUGAAGAAGGCCUUCGGGUUGUAAAGCUCUUUCGCAAGGGAAGAAAAAUUACGCUCUAACAUAGCGUGAUGAUGACGGUACCUUGAUAAGAAGCACCGGCUAACUAUGUGCCACCAGCCGCGGUAAUACGUAGGGUGCGAGCGUUAAUCGGAAUUACUGGGCGUAAAGCGUGCGCAGGCUGUUUUGUA
rnacentral:rRNA from 1 species